CCCUUAGACGUUCUGGGCCGCACGCGCGCUACACUGACCAGUGCAACAAGCAUCCGUCCUUGGCCGACAGGCCCGGGCAAUCUUUGAACGCUGGUCGUGAUGGGGAUAGACUUUUGCAAUUUUUGGUCUUCAACGAGGAAUUCCUAGUAAACGCAAGUCAUCAACUUGCAUUGAUUACGUCCCUGCCCUUUGUACACACCGCCCGUCGCACCUACCGAUUGAAUGGUCCGGUGAAGCCUCCGGAUUGGCGCGCACCUCGGUGCCGCCGAGAAGUUGGCUAAACCUUACCAUUUUGAGGAAGGUGAAGUCGUAACA
rnacentral:rRNA from 1 species